GACGAACGCCUUCGGCGUGCUUAACACAUGCAAGUCGAACGGAAAGGCCCUGCUUUUGUGGGGUGCUCGAGUGGCGAACGGGUGAGUAACACGUGAGUAACCUGCCCUUGACUUUGGGAUAACUUCAGGAAACUGGGGCUAAUACCGGAUAGGAGCUCCUGCUGCAUGGUGGGGGUUGGAAAGUUUCGGCGGUUGGGGAUGGACUCGCGGCUUAUCAGCUUGUUGGUGGGGUAGUGGCUUACCAAGGCUUUGACGGGUAGCCGGCCUGAGAGGGUGACCGGCCACAUUGGGACUGAGAUACGGCCCAGACUCCUACGGGAGGCAGCAGUGGGGAAUAUUGCACAAUGGGCGGAAGCCUGAUGCAGCAACGCCGCGUGCGGGAUGACGGCCUUCGGGUUGUAAACCGCUUUCGCCUGUGACGAAGCGUGAGUGACGGUAAUGGGUAAAGAAGCACCGGCUAACUACGUGCCAGCAGCCGCGGUGAUACGUAGGGUGCGAGCGUUGUCCGGAUUUAUUGGGCGUAAAGGGCUCGUAGGUGGUUGAUCGCGUCGGAAGUGUAAUCUUGGGGCUUAACCCUGAGCGUGCUUUCGAUACGGGUUGACUUGAGGAAGGUAGGGGAGAAUGGAAUUCCUGGUGGAGCGGUGGAAUGCGCAGAUAUCAGGAGGAACACCAGUGGCGAAGGCGGUUCUCUGGGCCUUUCCUGACGCUGAGGAGCGAAAGCGUGGGGAGCGAACAGGCUUAGAUACCCUGGUAGUCCACGCUGUAAACGGUGGGUACUAGGUGUGGGGUCCAUUCCACGGGUUCCGUGCCGUAGCUAACGCUUUAAGUACCCCGCCUGGGGAGUACGGCCGCAAGGCUAAAACUCAAAGGAAUUGACGGGGCCCCGCACAAGCGGCGGAGCAUGCGGAUUAAUUCGAUGCAACGCGUAGAACCUUACCUGGGUUUGACAUGGAUCGGGAGUGCUCAGAGAUGGGUGUGCCUCUUUUGGGGUCGGUUCACAGGCGGUGCAUGCCUGUCGUCAGCUCGUGUCGUGAGAUGUUGGGUUAAGUCUCGCAACGAGCGCAACCCUUGUUCACUGUUGCCAGCACGUUAUGGUGGGGACUCAGUGGAGACCGCCGGGGUCAACUCGGAGGAAGGUGGGGAUGACGUCAAGUCAUCAUGCCCCUUAUGUCCAGGGCUUCACGCAUGCUACAAUGGCUGGUACAGAGAGUGGCGAGCCUGUGAGGGUGAGCGAAUCUCGGAAAGCCGGUCUCAGUUCGGAUUGGGGUCUGCAACUCGACCUCAUGAAGUCGGAGUCGCUAGUAAUCGCAGAUCAGCAACGCUGCGGUGAAUACGUUCCCGGGGCU
rnacentral:rRNA from 1 species